UCUGCACUGAGUCAAACGAAGGAAGUGGGAGUUCCGUUAGCACGCUCAGGGCCCACACGCCAAACAAAAUUCCCUCCUCUUGGGGUCGCUAGUCCUAGAGGCACAGGAGACGGUGAGG
ensembl:misc_RNA